GUUGGUUUCAAUGAUGUUGAGGGUACACCUGUUCCCAUACCGAACACAGAAGUUAAGCUCAACGAUGCCGAAAAUACUUGAUUGGUAACGAUCCGGGAAAAUAGGAAGAAGCCAACA
rnacentral:rRNA from 1 species